rnacentral:rRNA from 1 species
CCUACGGGGGGCAGCAGUGGGGAAUCUUGGGCAAUGGGCGAAAGCCUGACCCAGCAAUACCGCGUGAGGGAUGAAGGCCUUCGGGUCGUAAACCUCUGUCAGCAGGAACGAUGGGUCUCCGUGCUAAUACCAUGGAGACUUGACGGUACCUACAAAGGAAGCCCCGGCUAACUACGUGCCAGCAGCCGCGGUAAUACGUAGGUGGCAAGCGUUGUCCGGAUUUACUGGGCGUAAAGAGCGCGCAGGCGGUCGUUCAAGUCGAGUGUGAAAGCCCCCGGCUCAACUGGGGAGGGUCACUCGAUACUGAUCGACUCGAAGGCAGGAGAGGGAAGUGGAAUUCCCGGUGUAGUGGUGAAAUGCGUAGAUAUCGGGAGGAACACCAGUGGCGAAGGCGACUUCCUGGCCUGUUCUUGACGCUGAGGCGCGAAAGCUAGGGGAGC